rnacentral:miRNA from 1 species
UUUGUUGGUUUUGGUUGC